UGAUGGUGAAGAGACGACUUUCUCAGGUGU
rnacentral:piRNA from 1 species